rnacentral:lncRNA from 1 species
UUCAACAAGAGGGGACACUCUUCAAAAACUGGCAACAGGAAACACGUCACGCCUAGUUUCAACAACAUCCGUUAGUUGACGCGAGCGUCAGAAAAAAAAAGAAUGUGAAAUAAACUUCCAGACAACGUUUUAUUUUUUUUAUUUCUUCCCACUAAAAGUGAAAAAGUUUUGCGUGUAAAUGAACCUAUACUUUGCAACUUUUUGUUGCGUUGCCUAGCAACAAGCUAGCGGCACGCCAGACUCGUGUGCAUACGUCAUGCGCCAGACAAGCCGCAGGAGUAAGCGAGGACGGCCGUACGUGCGAACCUCGCGUGCUCGGCGACCCGUCUGUUUUGGAUAUAGCCCAUUUUUUGGGGGCUCCCGGCCUUCUCUAUGCUCCUGUUGCGUAUCGUCUGCAUUUCGACACGGCACUACUGGACUACGGCAAGCUGAUGGCAUCCGGUGGAGCAUCGUACGGCAACGACUGCUGCUUACCUGGUACCACAACUUUGAAUGAAUGCAGAAGCCCGGAACGAGCAUUUAUAUAGAGCAAAAUAAACAUUUCAUCAUUUCAGAA